rnacentral:misc_RNA from 1 species
GAGGAAACUCAACCAAACACACGCGAUGAACUGCGGGAAGACACACAAACCAAUAAAACUGAUUUUGACAAAUUAAUGGCAUGCAGAAGGAAAAACUGUGAUAAAAAUACGGCAGAUGCGGAACGACCUCGCAGUUUUCAUGAACUUCUUGCAAUGUUUGAGUCUGACCCGUUAAAGCUAACGAAAAUGAAAAACUCUCUGAGGAAAUGUGCCUCUGUGGAUGGAAUUGAACAGGAAACAAUAUUUCGUAAAACAUUUUCAUCCGAACCAGAUCUAAGUAAAUUGGCUGGAAUAUCAAAUGGUCAAGCAAUUUUUCAGCUCGAAGUUACCUUAAAAUAGAUUUUUAAUAGCCAUAGCUUUCUAUGUAGAAUAAUGUGUAUUUAUCAACACGCAUAAACAAAUACUAGUAGGCUAGCCAUGUACAUGUACUUUAGACUUAAUCAUAUAAAUGGAUAAGUACAGCUUUGGAGAGAUGCCGCUUACUGAGGCUUGGUGUAUAUCAUGACGGACUGUGUUAGACUGAAUGUGAUAACAAAGCACAAUGUGAUAACAAACCAACAUGUCGUGAUGUAUAAAUAAUUAAACAAU